rnacentral:ncRNA from 1 species
CGUUCGGGCUAUCGCGCUUCCUCAGCCCGAACGGCAUCGAAGUAACGACCGGAUAAAACAAGCUUCUUAUCCAUAAUUCAAU